UACAGAGGUGGCAAGCGUUGUUCGGAAUUACUGGGCGUAAAGGGCGAGUAGGUGGCCAUCUAAGUCAGACGUGAAAUCCCCCGGCUUAACCUGGGAACUGCGUCUGAUACUGGACGGCUUGAGUAUGGGAGAGGAACGUAGAAUUCCAGGUGUAGCGGUGAAAUGCGUAGAUAUCAGGAGGAACACCGGUGGCGAAGGCGGGUCUCUGGGCCGAUACUGACGCUGGAGGAGCGAAAGCGUGGGGAGCGAACAGG
rnacentral:rRNA from 1 species